UUCUUUGCUGGCGACCGGCGCACGGGUGAGUAACACGUAUCCAACCUGCCCUUUACUCGGGGAUAGCCUUUCGAAAGAAAGAUUAAUACCCGAUAGCAUAAUGAUUCCGCAUGGUUUCAUUAUUAAAGGAUUCCGGUAAAGGAUGGGGAUGCGUUCCAUUAGGUUGUUGGUGAGGUAACGGCUCACCAAGCCUUCGAUGGAUAGGGGUUCUGAGAGGAAGGUCCCCCACAUUGGAACUGAGACACGGUCCAAACUCCUACGGGAGGCAGCAGUGAGGAAUAUUGGUCAAUGGGCGCUAGCCUGAACCAGCCAAGUAGCGUGAAGGAUGAAGGCUCUAUGGGUCGUAAACUUCUUUUAUAUAAGAAUAAAGUGCAGUAUGUAUACUGGUUUGUAUGUAUUAUAUGAAUAAGGAUCGGCUGACUCCGUGCCAGCAGCCGCGGUAAUACGGAGGAUCCGAGCGUUAUCCGGAUUUAUUGGGUUU
rnacentral:rRNA from 1 species